GACGCUGGCGGCAGGCCUAACACAUGCAAGUCGAACGGUAGCACAGAGAGCUUGCUCUUGGGUGACGAGUGGCGGACGGGUGAGUAAUGUCUGGGAAACUGCCCGAUGGAGGGGGAUAACUACUGGAAACGGUAGCUAAUACCGCAUAACGUCGCAAGACCAAAGUGGGGGACCUUCGGGCCUCACACCAUCGGAUGUGCCCAGAUGGGAUUAGCUAGUAGGUGGGGUAAUGGCUCACCUAGGCGACGAUCCCUAGCUGGUCUGAGAGGAUGACCAGCCACACUGGAACUGAGACACGGUCCAGACUCCUACGGGAGGCAGCAGUGGGGAAUAUUGCACAAUGGGCGCAAGCCUGAUGCAGCCAUGCCGCGUGUAUGAAGAAGGCCUUCGGGUUGUAAAGUACUUUCAGCGAGGAGGAAGGCAUUGUGGUUAAUAACCGCAGUGAUUGACGUUACUCGCAGAAGAAGCACCGGCUAACUCCGUGCCAACAGCCGCGGU
rnacentral:rRNA from 1 species